GACGAACGCUGGCGGCGUGCUUAACACAUGCGAGUCGAACGGAAAGGCCUCUUUCGGGGGGUACUCGAGUGGCGAACGGGUGAGUAACACGUGAGUAACCUGCCCUUGACUUUGGGAUAACUUCAGGAAACUGGGGCUAAUACCGGAUAGGAGCUCCUGCUGCAUGGUGGGGGUUGGAAAGUUUCGGCGGUUGGGGAUGGACUCGCGGCUUAUCAGCUUGUUGGUGGGGUAGUGGCUUACCAAGGCUUUGACGGGUAGCCGGCCUGAGAGGGUGACCGGCCACAUUGGGACUGGAAAACGGCCCAAACUCCUACGGGAGGCAGCAGGGGGGAAUAUUGCACAAUGGGGGGAGGCCUGAUGCAGCAACGCCGUGUGCGGGAUGACGGCCUUCGGUUUUUAAACCGCUUUCGCCCAUGAAGAAGCUUUGGGUGACGGGGGUGGGUAAAGAAGCACAGGCUAACCCCGU
rnacentral:rRNA from 1 species